GAGUUUGAUCAUGGCUCAGAUUGAACGCUGGCGGCAGGCCUAACACAUGCAAGUCGAGCGGUAGAGAGAAGCUUGCUUCUCUUGAGAGCGGCGGACGGGUGAGUAAUGCCUAGGAAUCUGCCUGGUAGUGGGGGAUAACGCUCGGAAACGGACGCUAAUACCGCAUACGUCCUACGGGAGAAAGCAGGGGACCUUCGGGCCUUGCGCUAUCAGAUGAGCCUAGGUCGGAUUAGCUAGUUGGUGAGGUAAUGGCUCACCAAGGCGACGAUCCGUAACUGGUCUGAGAGGAUGAUCAGUCACACUGGAACUGAGACACGGUCCAGACUCCUACGGGAGGCGGCAGUGGGGAAUAUUGGACAAUGGGCGAAAGCCUGAUCCAGCCAUGCCGCGUGUGUGAAGAAGGUCUUCGGAUUGUAAAGCACUUUAAGUUGGGAGGAAGGGCAGUAAAUUAAUACUUUGCUGUUUUGACGUUACCGACAGAAUAAGCACCGGCUAACUCUGUGCCAGCCGCCG
rnacentral:rRNA from 1 species